UUCUUAUCAAGAGCAGGCGGAGGGAAAAGCCCGAUGAAGCCCGGCAACCGACUUAAAACUUUUGUUUUAAGCACGGUGCUAAUUCUUGCAGCAAUGCGCUGACAGAUGAGAA
rnacentral:ncRNA from 2 species